CCCUUAGAUGUUCUGGGCCGCACGCGCGCUACACUGAUGCAUUCAACAAGCCUAGCCUUGACCGAGAGGUCCGGGUAAUCUUUGAAACUGCAUCGUGAUGGGGCUAGAUUAUUGCAAUUAUUAAUCUUCAACGAGGAAUGCCUAGUAAGCGUGAUUCAUCAAAUCGCGUUGAUUACGUCCCUGCCCUUUGUACACACCGCCCGUCGCUCCUACCGAUUGAAUGUGUUGGUGAGGAGCUCGGAUUGGUCUCGGCCCGCUCUUUACCGGGCGGCGCCGUUGGUCGAGAAGACGCUCGAACUUGAUCGUUUAGAGGAAGUAAAAGUCGUAACA
rnacentral:rRNA from 1 species